rnacentral:rRNA from 1 species
AUUGAACGCUGGCGGCAUGCCUUACACAUGCAAGUCGGACGGCAGCACGGGGGCGACCCUGGUGGCGAGUGGCGAACGGGUGAGUAAAGCAUCGGAACGUACCUGGGAGUGGGGGAUAACGUAGCGAAAGUUACGCUAAUACCGCAUAUUCUGUGAGCAGGAAAGCGGGGGAUCGCAAGACCUCGCGCUUCUGGAGCGGCCGAUGUCGGAUUAGCUAGUUGGUGGGGUAAAGGCCUACCAAGGCGACGAUCCGUAGCGGGUCUGAGAGGAUGAUCCGCCACACUGGGACUGAGACACGGCCCAGACUCCUACGGGAGGCAGCAGUGGGGAAUUUUGGACAAUGGGCGCAAGCCUGAUCCAGCCAUGCCGCGUGAGUGAAGAAGGCCUUCGGGUUGUAAAGCUCUUUCGGUGGGGAAGAAAUCGCAUUCUUUAAUAGGGGGUGUGGAUGACGGUACCCGCAUAAGAAGCACCGGCUAACUACGUGCCAGCCGCCGCAGUAAGAC